UACAGAGGGUGCGAGCGUUAUUCGGAAUUACUGGGCGUAAAGCGCACGUAGGUGGUUUGGUAAGUCUGAUGUGAAAGCCCUGGGCUCAAUCCAGGAAGUGCAUCGGAUACUGCCAGGCUUGAGUACAGGAGAGGUGGGCGGAAUUCCAGGUGUAGAGGUGAAAUUCGUAGAUAUCUGGAGGAACAACAGCGGCGAAGGCGGCUCACUGGACUGUCACUGACACUGAGGUGCGAAAGCGUGGGGAGCAAACAGG
rnacentral:rRNA from 1 species